rnacentral:lncRNA from 1 species
CGCGGAACCGGUGACAGGGUGCUUCUGCUACUGGAGCAGAACAGCAAGCUCCCAGGAACUGCAGUUCCCCAGCCAGCCUUGGCGGUGACCACACCGCACUGCGUGCUAUGACAUCACCUGUUUUCGCUCUUGAGAACCUAAUCUGUAUUCUCGGCUUCUCGUUUUCUAAAGGUCUCGAGUGUGUCCAGAUUUGUGAAGGCCUGCAGUUUGCAGAAUGUAUCUGUGGAGAUGAUUUUAAAGAACUGACCCACUGGUUUACAUUUCUUGUAUUAUUUUUAAUUUAACACAUGUUUAAUUGCUAGCACUACUUUGUGUUAGGAAUUUAGUGUCCAAUGAUGUAAAACCAGGAAGUCGCACUUGGAGAAGCCCGCAAGGGUUAGCAUAACAAAGCCAUUAGACCACACUGUUGUCCAAACUGCCAAUCUCAUCCAUACUCAACAUCUGUCUCCACUCCAUCCUCUUUAGAGACCUACACCAUAAACAAGCCUACACAAAGAACAAAGGAAAUGAGAAUCUGCCCGCACCAGGUUUAAACAGACUGGAAAACCCCAAGGGUCUAGGUGAUAUGGUUAGAGGAAUCUGCACUUUACAGGGUUGUAAAUUGAAUACUCCUUUGGAGCUGUUAGAUUCCUGCUAUCUUUUCCUCUGUGGCUCAAGACCAAUACUACUUCCAAGGAGAAAUAAAAUCAUCUCUGAAAAGGCCAGGGCUGAGUCCCAUUCUGUCUCCUCCAUAUUCUACCAACACAACUGUCACUGUGAAUGGAUAUCUGCCCCACCUGCUAAGAUACACAUCCUGCUAGCCUUCUAACCCACAUACUGGAUUUGUACCCCACACCUCAUUGAAAGGCUGAUUGCAAGUGGAAGUCCCACAAAUAUAGUGUCAGUUUCUCCCACUGCUCAAUGCCAGCCCACUUCAUGUUUUUUAAAAAUGAAUUAGUUUUAAACAUUUAUUAUGCAGGAAUUUUUUGUUCUUGCGGAACUCGGCUGAGUGACUGGAGCGGUGGAGCAGGAGUAGCUGGGAAGCCAUGUGAAGGACACUGUGCUUUCUACACUGUGUGGUCAUGGUCUGGGUCUAUGUAAACACUUCAAAAGUAUCACUGGCUUAUCAGACAAACUUAUAUUCCAUUUCUGCAAUACUUUUAAAGUUGCUUUACGCUGGAGAUCUUUGAGCUUUAUGACCUUCGGCAUCUUUAGAGUAAGAUGUGGGGGUAGAAAAGAUAGCAAUGUACAAAACUGAGGGAGCAGAGGGCUUAGGCCAGCGCGCACCACCAUGAGCUAUAUGAUAUUAAGCCUCAGCUUUCCAAUCUGACAAGAGUGAGUGCUCUUUCCAAACUGACAGAACUGAGUUCUUCCAGUUCUGUAAGGACUCGGAGCAUCUUUAAGAAAAGCAUAAUGCUACAAGUACAGAGUUAAUAAUGAUGAGUUACUAUAGACAUUACCGCCACAUGCAGAAAUGACCGUGAUCUCCUCAAAGAGGGCCCGUCUUGCCCAGAUCAGAGAAUUAUUGUCAUCUAAGUCCUCUUAACCAGACAGACAGAGCUACUCCUGCUAUUCAGUGCCUCAAGCGCAUGGGAAAGUGGAAAAGGGGUGUUCAAGCAAAGAAACACCUUCAUCUCUAUCAAUAGUGGAUAAAAUACUUAUUUUUGAAAUUUGGUUAAAAUAGAACUAUGUUAAUACAUGGCUUGAGGUUCUUGAGGCCAUGGAGGGCAUAUAGUAUUGGUGAUAAAUCCUAAAGUCUGGGUCUCUUCCCUCACACAUACUUUAAGAUUGUGUUAGGUUUGGUUUGGUUUGGUUUGGUUUGGUUUGUAUCCUGGGGACAUUUCCUGUUACCCUGCUCAUCUCCCUGAUUCUCCAAAGUCACCGCCCCAAAGUCUUUUGAGGAACAAAUAUAAUGUAGGUGACAAAUUGCAUCUGCAACGCCCAUCUACAGCAAAAGUAAUUUAUAUUUUUAUAUAAAGAUAACUAUGAAGUGCACUGGCUAAGUGUUGGAACAGGAAGAUGGGUGGGUAGUUGGGACAUCCAGGGGAGAAUGAGGUAGUUUAUAGGUAGGGCUUGUUAAUAAACAGAACAGCUAUUACCUGAGACUUAGAGAGCCUCUAACAGUGUUGCAUUUUCAAGGAUUUUCAGGAAUUGGCACAGAGUCAGAAUAAAAUUGGAGGGACCUCAGAAGGGCACAAUGAUCUGUAUUCGAAGUUUCCAGAGCUUCUGAACGUAGCUUAAUUCACCUAAACUCUAGAGCCCAUCUCCCAGGAGAGUCUUACUCGGCUGGGUAUUUACAGCAUUUGCAAAUGUAAGAGCCUGUUGGAAAGCUCUUCAGAUGGAAACAAGGAAACGCACCAGAGUUUGCUAACUGAAAUCUAGUGGACAUACUAUUUUACUAAUAAAAGUUCCCAAGUAGUCUUAAAAUACCUUUUCAUGCAAGCAUAAAGUUCAUCAAUUGGCCUUGUUAGAAAGGAGAUAAUCUCCAUUUCGAUAAAUGAUGCAAUCAUGCAGUACUUCAGAGGUAUGAUGCUGGUUUAAGGUGAUGCAUACGAACUGAAUUGCAAACUUGCGACCACAAUAGCAGCUCACGAGAUGCUAGAAGCUUGCAAGUUUGGAAGCAUGUGUUGUAUAGUAUAUAUGGUCUAAAUAUCCCUCUAUUCACACUCCUUCUCUUCCAACCCUUACCAAGCGAGUCCUGGUGGUAAACUGACAGAGGACAGUCAUAUGAUGUAAUGAUGCGGCCAAGGCAUAAUCCCUGCAUUGCUAGAGAAGAGAAAUGGAAAAUGGAAGAUGGCGGGAAAAGGUUACUCGCAAAGAGCUCAGAGGGGCCUUGAACAUUCAUGCCUCUAACUAGAUGCCCUUCAGCAGUAGCUCUGGGGACAUUUGAGGGAGAAUGCUUGUAUAUGAUGAUGCAGUUACAUCAACCAGAAGACAGGAUUGAUAGCCCCCAAGGACCACAGAAUGAAGCAGGGUAGUAUCAUACUGGGCUUGCUUCCUGCUUCCGUGUUCAUUACUUAAUGCUUCCUCGAAUGUAUUCACAGUGCUUCCCGUGUGUAGCCACUUGCUUUAUUAUAGUCCUAAUAUGAAGAACACAGGUCACAUUUAGAACAGAGCCGCGACUACUGAGCCUUAAACAAGUAUCACCAGUGUGUAAUGACUGCAGUACUGCAGAGAACACGGGCAGAGAAUAAACGGUAGGGUUGGUCACCUGAUCUAAGCCUCCUAGAUAAAAUGAAAUGUAAGCACUGGGCUGCUUCUCCUGUCUCCAAGAGCGGUGUGUAGGUACCCCAUCUGGGAAGUCCUUUCCACAUGCAACUCCUGUCUUACUGUUGCCAUUUCCUCUUUCCUUAUAGUCCAAACUGCGUUUACAAAAUGCCCACGAAGCAUGCAGCGGCCAGGCUGCCACAUAGUGUGAAGUCCCCAGUUAUUUCCUAAGAGCACGGCCUCUAAACACUCAACAGGAUCCUUCCUCCCCUCCUGAUGACAGGCUCUUAGUUAACGUUACCAUCUCAUGUUUACUCCAUUACACUGUUCCAUCCACAGGCAUGAGUUAGACCAUGCGCCACUUGUAGCGUGUGUGUACACAUGAAGACUGUUGUGUGCUUGAAGGCAGAACCCUAUCUCUGCUCUGUGGUCUACACAUCUCAGAAAGCCAGUGCUGAUAAUCAUUAUCUGUAUAGUAAUAAAGCAACCAGUAAUGCUAGGGACUUACUGCAUGCCAAUCAUUAUGCAGUAAUUUGCAUAUGAUAUCUUAUCUUGACUAAUAUUUGUAAGCCCUCUAAGAACUGAUUGUAUUAGAGUCAUCUUUGCAUAUGAUAUUUAGCCAUAAAGGUCUACUGAGUGUUUCAAGGAAGAAUUGUGAUGUGAAGUUGUAUUUAGAGUGUUAUACGGUUCCAACCUUGUCAUUACUGUGUUCAGUCGGUCAUUAUUGUCACUGUUACUUGAAUCUUUGUGUUAGGCUAUCAGGUGGAUUGGCUUAGAUCUGUCAUAUAUUCACCAAAUAUACUUGGGUGCCUCUGUGACAUCUAUUGAAAUAAGCACUGAGAUUGGGCAAAGAAGUACUACUCAUCAUUCCUAAUUCUAAUAAAUUAAAAAUUAAUUUAAAAUAUUUUGACAUUUAUUUAUUUAUUUAUUGACUGACUGACUGUUGUGAAAGUUUACGGCACACGCAUGCCCAGCACACCUGUGAAGGACAACUCGUAGGCGCUGGCUCUCACCUUCUUCCAUGGUGGCUUCUGGGAAUCAGUCUACAUAGCCGUGGUUGGUGACAGAUGCUUUGCCCCCUGGAAUGUUGCUCUAAACUAAAGUGACUAGAUGGUCCCUGGGUAAAGAAAAUACUUUUUGCAAGUUAGGUUAAAAUUCCAAAUGUUUGAGUGUUUGGUGACUGAUGUGCGAGAUGAACAUAAGAUGUCAGAGCUGAGGGAAAGGUGACAUUGCUGUCCUCACACACCCAUCAAGGCAAGCCCAGAGCUUUUGCAGUUAGUAGGAUUAGCUGCCAGGAUGACAGCAACCUGAGACUUACAUCCAUAGCCUUCUAUAUGGCCUUUUUUUUUCUGGCGGCCUCAUUCUACAUAGUUGGGCUCAGUGCUCUGCCAUGUGGUCACUUGUCUGAGAUCAGUAUCAAAGGAUAGACUUUUGACUCAAAGACAGACAGCCAUUCUAUAAUUUGGCUGUCCAUCUUUCUAAGUCUUUUAAAACGACCAUCUCAGCCAAUCAUAUUCCUACUUAGAAAUGUGGCAUUAGGAAACCAAGACUUUAUGCUGUUUGUCAGAUCCUGAGAGGAUGGGAAGCACCGUGUGCAAACUAGCAGUGCUGGCUAGGGAAGGAAGGAUGGGGCCAGGCAUGGAAAGAAAGAAAGUCUUGGAGCAGCCUCCACUCUCGUCUCCAGUUCUGGGCCCUGUUUAUCCUGCAGGGAUUUUCUUACCCAGUCAAGUCUUUUGCCACUAGCGACUCUGUAAGUAACUGUACCCGUGUUUCUUUUGAGCAAACACGAUUAGCUGCAACAAUCUUAUCUCUUUUUCAUGUCAAGUGUCCCUACAUGGGAACUGCACUCUUAGUUUUUACUGGUAAAAGGAUGUAAAAAUACAAUAUUCCAAAAGAAAGAACUAGAACUUACUGGACGAGAAAGCCCCAUGGUAGUUUUUACAUACUGAAAACUUCUUACAGUCUCACUAAGAAAGUGUGUCUGUAACGUGUGAAACCCUCAGACUCCUCAUUCUGUGCCUUGAUGAGCAGUUAUCAGUAAUCUAUUACCCACACUGCCUCUCUCCAGGCACAGUGUCAUAUGUCUCCUUUGUCAAGUGCCUAAAAAGACAGACCUUGAGGCAAAAUCUUUUACCCUUUCUACUCAUCCUUCAUUCAGACUUAAUGCCAGUGGUUCCCAGUCCAAUGAAUUCCUACAGUUUAUGAG